AUGAACGUUGGCGGCGUGCCUAAGACAUGCAAGUCGAGUGGGUUUAGACCCACGGCGAACGGGUGAGUAAUACCUAGGAACAUCCCUUAAGUUGAGCAUAACCCACCGAAAGGUGGAGCAAUUCUCGAUGUCAUCGAAAGAUGAAAGUCGCAAGACGCUUAAGGCGUGGCCUGGGCACCAUCAGCUAGUUGGUAAGGUAAUGGCUUACCAAGGCUAUGACGGUUAGGGGGCCCGAGAGGGUGAACCCCCACACUGGAACUGCGACACGGUCCAGACUCCUACGGGAGGCAGCAGUUUGGAAUAUUGGACAAUGGGCGAAAGCCUGAUCCAGCGACGCCGCGUGGAUGAUGAAGGCCUUCGGGUUGUAAAAUCCUUUUAGCAGGGAACAAUUUUUGAGCGUACCUGCAGAAUAAGUGGUUGCUAACUCUGU
rnacentral:rRNA from 1 species